ensembl:snRNA U6 U6 spliceosomal RNA
GUGCAUGCUUCGGCAGCACAUAUACUAAAAUUGGAAUGAUAUAGAUAAAUUAGCAUGGCCCCUGUGCAAAAGGAUGACAGGCAAAUUCAAUGAAUUUUUUUACUAUAUU